UAGUAAUGUUUAGAAUGUCCCAUCUUUGGUCAGCAGGAGCUUAUUUAAGAUGUAUUUUGGUAUCUUUUGACAUGACUUUGAUUCUGGUAUGACAAGGUGUUCCAGGCUUGUCAUACUUUUUUGUUACAGAUUUGGAAUUGGCCAUUUCUCCAGGGAGAACAGGUUAUUUUCAGUGGGGCACGGUAUUUAGAGAUCUCAGUUAAAGCUCUGAGAAAGCUUAUUGACACUGGUUUAACCUUUUUUUUUUUUUUUUUGAAUUUGCAAGUGGGCAAAAUUAGGAAAAGUGUAUUUUUUUCUUGCAGAUAUGUAUUUGUUAAUAUUUUUGCAAAAUACAGAGAGUAGUGUCUAAUGAGUUCAACUUAGAUUCUCAAGUACAAAAUAUCUGCUGAUAUAGCAACUUUAAAAAGUUUCAUUUUAUUGUGGUAGGAACACUUACCAGAUCUAUCCUCUUAAUAGAUUUCUAAGUGUACAAUACAGUAUUACUAACUAUAGACACUAUGUUGCACAGCAGAUCUCUAGAAGUUGUUCAUCUUGCAUAACUGAAACUCUAUAUCCAUUGGUUAGCAACUCCCCAUUUCUUCCUCCCCUCGGCCUCUGGCAACCACUGUUCUACUCUCUACGUCUGUGAGUUUGAUUAUUUUAGAUGCCUUAUAUAAGUGAAGUCAUGCAAUAUUUGUCCUUCUGUGACUUACUUCACUUAGCAUAGUGUCUUCCAGGUUUUUCCAUGUUGUCACAUAUUUCAGCAUUUCCUUCUUUUUUAAUGCUGAAUAAUAUUCCGUUGUAUGCAUCUACCACACUUUCUUUAUCCUUUUAUCCAUCAGUGGACAUUUAGGUUAUUUCUACAUCCUGGCUAUUGUAAAUAGUGUUGCAGUAAACAUGGUAGUGCAGAUAUCUCCUUAAGAUCCGAACUUCAUUUCUUUUGAAUAUAUACCCAGAAGUGAGAUUGCUGGAUCAUAUGGUAGUUCUAUUCUCAAAUUAUUGAGGAACCUUCAUACUGUUUUCCGUGGUGGCUAUUUUGCAUUCCCACCAAUAGUGUACAGGGUUUCAAAGUUCUCCACAUCCUCACCAACACUGUUGUCUUGUGUUUUUUGGAUAAUAGCCAUCCUAACAGGUGUGAGGUGAUAUCUCAUCAUGGUUUUGGGUUGCAUUUCCUUGAUGAUUAGUGAUAUUGAGCAUUUUUCCACAUACAUGUUGGCCAUUUGUAUGCCUUUGGAAAAAUGUCUGUUAGCGUCCUUUGCCCAUUUGUAAAUUGGAUUAUUUGAUUUUUUUUAUUUUUACCAAUGAGUUGCAGUAGUACCUUAUAUAUUUAGGGUAUUAACCUCUUAUCAGAUAUAUGAUUUGUAAAUAUUUUCUUUUAUUCUAUAGAUUGCCUUUUCAUUCUGUUGAUUGUUUCCUUUGCUCUGCCAAAGCUUUUGAUUUCGCUGUAGUCCUGCUUAUCUAUUUUUGCUUUUUGUUGUCUGUCUGUCCUUUUGGUGUCAUAUCCAAGAAAUCAUUGCCAAGACCAAUGUCAAGAAACUUUUCCUAUGUUUUGUUCUAGUAGUUUUAUCAUUCCUGGUCUUACAUUUAAGUUUUAAUCCAUUUUGAGUUGAUUUUUGUGUGUGGUUUAAGAUAAGGAUCUAAUUUUGUUUUUUUUGUUUUUUUGUUUUUUUUGUUUUUUUGUUUUUGAGACGGAGUCUCGCUGUGUCUCCCAGGUUGGAGUGCAGUGGCGC
rnacentral:lncRNA from 1 species